rnacentral:rRNA from 1 species
GACGAACGCUGGCGGCGUGCUUAACACAUGCAAGUCGAACGGUGAAGCGCCUUCCUUUUUGGUGGGUGUGGAUGAGUGGCGAACGGGUGAGUAACACGUGAGUAACCUGCCCCCUUCUUCUGGAUAACCGCAUGAAAGUGUGGCUAAUAUGGGAUAUUCUGGGUCUGUCGCAUGAUGGGUCUGGGAAAGAUAUUGUUUCGGUGGGGGAUGGGCUCGCGGCCUAUCAGCUUGUUGGUGGGGUGAUGGCCUACCAAGGCGGUGACGGGUAGCCGGCCUGAGAGGGUGGACGGUCACACUGGGACGGAGACACGGCCCAGACUCCUACGGGAGGCAGCAGUGGGGAAUAUUGCACAAUGGGCGCAAGCCUGAUGCAGCGACGCCGCGUGAGGGAUGGAGGCCUUCGGGUUGUGAACCUCUUUCGCCAGUGAAGCAGGCCUGCCUCGUUUGUGGGUGGGUUGACGGUAGCUGGAGAAGAAGCGCCGGCUAACUACGUG